rnacentral:ncRNA from 1 species
UGAAAUGCGGAAAGAUGAGUAGCUGUUCAUUUUUUGUUUAGAGAGUGUCCAUUUUGGUGAAAGGACAUCUAAAAAUGCCAGCGAAUAUGGUCUUGGUGAUGCAGGUGUGCCGAGCAAUGGCAAAGCACACAUGGGGACGCCCAUUAUUGCGUUAGGUCUCACAGUGAAUACUGUCGGACUGAUUGAGGAAAGUUGUGUGAGCAGCUUUCAAACCAAGGUGGUACCACGGUAAGCCGUCCUUGGC